rnacentral:rRNA from 1 species
UACGUAGGGUGCGAGCGUUAAUCGGAAUUACUGGGCGUAAAGCGUGCGCAGGCGGUUCGUCGUGUCUCGUGUGAAAGCCCCGGGCUCAACCUGGGAACUGCAUUUGUGACUGCAUAGCUAGAGUACGGUAGAGGGGGAUGGAAUUCCGCGUGUAGCAGUGAAAUGCGUAGAUAUGCGGAGGAACACCGAUGGCGAAGGCAAUCCCCUGGACCUGUACUGACGCUCAUGCAC